rnacentral:rRNA from 1 species
GGUUGCGAUCAUACCAGCACUAAUGCACUGGAUCCCAUCAGAACUCCGCAGUUAAGCGUGCGUGGGUGAGAGUAGUACUAGGAUGGGUGACCCCAUGGGAAGUCCUCGUGUUGCAACUCC